UACGUAGGGGGCGAGCGUUGUCCGGAUUCAUUGGGCGUAAAGCGCGUGUAGGCGGCCCUGCAAGUCGGGUGUGAAAUCCCAUGGCUCAACCAUGGAAGUGCACUCGAAACUGCAGGGCUAGAGUCCUGGAGAGGAAGGUGGAAUGCUUGGUGUAGAGGUGAAAUUCGUAGAUAUCAAGCGGAACACCGGUGGCGAAGGCGGCCUUCUGGACAGUGACUGACGCUGAGACGCGAAAGCGUGGGGAGCAAACAGG
rnacentral:rRNA from 1 species